CCUACGGGUGGCAGCAGUCGAGAAUCAUUCACAAUGGGGGAAACCAUGAUGGUGCGACGCCGCGUGGGGGAAUGAAGGUCUUCGGAUUGUAAACCCCUGUCAUGUGGGAGCAAAUUAAAAAGAUAGUACCACAAGAGGAAGAGACGGCUAACUCUGUGCCAGCAGCCGCGGUAAUACAGAGGUCUCAAGCGUUGUUCGGAAUCACUGGGCGUAAAGCGUGCGUAGGCUGUUUCGUAAGUCGUGUGUGAAAGGCGCGGGCUCAACCCGCGGACGGCACAUGAUACUGCGAGACGAGAGGAAUGGAGGGGGAACCGGAAUUCUCGGUGUAGCAGUGAAAUGCGUAGAUAUCGAGAGGAACACUCGUGGCGAAGGCGGGUUCCUGGACAUUAACUGACGCUGAGGCACGAAGGCCAGGGGAGCGAAAGGGAUUAGAUACCCUUGUAGUC
rnacentral:rRNA from 1 species